GUGAGGAAUAUUGGUCAAUGGACGGAAGUCUGAACCAGCCAUGCCGCGUGAAGGAAUAAGGCCCUAUGGGUCGUAAACUUCUUUUGUGGUGGAGCAAUAAGAUCUACGCGUAGGUCGAUGAGAGUACAUCACGAAUAAGCAUCGGCUAACUCCGUGCCAGCAGCCGCGGUAAUACGGAGGAUGCAAGCGUUAUCCGGAAUUAUUGGGUUUAAAGGGUGCGUAGGCUGUUUUGCAAGUCAGGGGUGAAAGCCCGGAGCUCAACUCCGGAACUGCCUUUGAUACUGCGAGGCUGGAAUACGGAUGCCGUGGGAGGAAUGAGUAGUGUAGCGGUGAAAUGCAUAGAUAUUACUCAGAACACCGAUUGCGAAGGCAUCUCACGAAUCCGUCAUUGACGCUGAGGCACGAAAGCGUGGGGAUCAAACAGGAUUAGAAACCCUAGUAGUCC
rnacentral:rRNA from 1 species